rnacentral:rRNA from 1 species
UACAGGGGGUGCAAACGUUGCUCGGAAUCAUUGGGCGUAAAGCGUGCGUAGGCGGUUCUCCAAGUCCGUUGUGAAAGCCCCGGGCUCAACCUGGGAAUGGCAGUGGAAACUAGGGGGCUGGAAUCUGGCAGAGGGGGGUGGAAUGCCGCGUGUAGCAGUGAAAUGCGUAGAGAUGCGGCGGAACACCGAUGGCGAAGGCAGCCCCCUGGGCUGAGAUUGACGCUCAGGCACGAAAGCGUGGGGAGCAAACAGG